GGGACAGUGGCUACAAUGCUGAGAUUGGAAUCAGGGAGCUGAGUAUAGUCUCGCCUCAGACAUACGAUUUAACCCUCAUCUAUAGUUUUCUCUUCUAUCUAAUAAGGGGGCUGGAUUCAUUUCAGCUCUGAAUCUAGGAUCUCAGGAUCCUGUAAUUGUCAACCUCUAUUGGAUGAGCGAGUUUGCCAUAUGGAUAAAAUCAUAUACAUACAUAUAAUCACAAAAGCACAUUUAAUCAGGCAGGUAACAGCUAUUUAAGCUACCAUAAUUGUCACAAUACAUGUGAUGCUUUCUAGGCUCUUUGUGAAGUUUCAUGGUAUCUAAAAGAUCAUAAUCCAUGUAUUGUGAAAAAUUUUCACUUAAGCAUAUGAAAUUUUCAUUCACUCACAGUAGAUUGCCACUUUGUGGAGACUAAUUUCAAAUAGGCGCUUAAAAAAUGAGGCAUGUUAUUCUAAAGUUUUUCUCACAAUUAUAAAAUAGUCAACAAUCCAGGCAAUGAGGAAACUGAAGUCCCAGGAGAUUAAAUCCAACCGUUUCAUUUUCAUAAGAAGAACUUGAAGAAGUGAGGCAAGCAUGGGAAAUCUUACAUGAAUUGAUACAGAGUAAAGUCAGCAGAACAUGGAACACAAUCAAUCAACUUACCAACAAGGAUCUCUUAAACAUUUGCUCUAUACCAGGUACUAUGCUAGGCACUAGGGACAAAAAUGGAUAAAAAGAAAAGAAACAACCCUUGAUCUCAAGGAACAAAUAGGGAACAAAUCUAUAAAUUGCUUCAAUCUUAGCAGUUAAAAGAGAGAGUAAAUAGAAAGAGUAAGGGGACAUGAAACUGGAAUGAGACCCUAAGAAGAGUAGAAAAAUGUGAAAUAAACAUUUUCUUGACUUCA
rnacentral:lncRNA from 1 species